CCCAAAAUGAUGCUGGCCCUGCAACUAUUGGAUUCAAGUUCUUCAAGAAGAUUGGCACAUAUCUAUAUUUCUUUGAUUAUCUCUAGGUUCCAUUUUACUCUCUAUUGAUAUUAUUAUUAGGCUUUCUCCAUGUAUUUCAGAAUAGCUCUGACAAUUCUAGGUUUGUCAUCUUCACAGGUAACAAUACCAGGAAAGGACAGACGGCCCUGCUGUAGGUUAACAUUGACUCCUGGAUAAUCGCUAUGUUCAGCUGUACUGAGGUUGAUUACUGGAGCUCUCACUUCCAGCUUCAUCUAUACUGGCAGGCUGAAGGCUCUAUGAUUCCAGUCAUUCUAAUGUGUGGUGAUCCAGGUGACCAAAGUUCACUGCCUUCAAAUCCUAACCACAAGUUGACUGCCCUGUGUCAUGAAGAUGCAACAUUUACUAAAAGGCACACUAUGGAAAUUGUUCACACUAGUCCUAAAAAUUCUCUUCUUGAAUAUGUGGAUGGAGAAAGAGAAACAAAGCCAUGCAGAGGAUGUUUUCAUGGACCAUGUCUGGAAGUGCCACACAUCAUUUCCAUUAAUAUUCUAUUACAUACUGUAUUGUAAAUAAAUAUAAAAAAAUAUAUAGUACAGUGGCAACUAGAAUAAUAAGGAAAAAAAAAUCAGAGAACAGAAGCAGUGUUCUCUUUACCAAAAUCAGUCUUCUCUUUACCAAAAUCUGGUUCACAUUUUUCUAUACAUCUCCUCUUCAUUGGAGAGGAUCCAAAAUCCUAACAAAUCUCUGUACCAGCAAAAAGCCCAAGAUUUCUGGAUGAUGGACAUCAGUCCUAAUAUAGUCCCUUGGCAACCUGUGAACUGAACAAAUUAUCUACUCCACUAUGAAAUUAGCCAGACAGUAAUAGGAUCCAGAAAUUGGAUGAAGGUGGUCAAAGGUACAAACUUUCACUUAUAAGUUAAACAAGUAAUAGAGAUGUAAUGUACAACAUGAUGACUAGUCAAUGGUGCUGUAUGAUAUAUAUUAAAGUUGUUAAGAGAGUAAAUCCUGAGAGUUCCCACCAGGACAAAAAUUUUUUUCUUUUUGUUUAAAAAAAUAUAAAUUUGCUUUUAUUAAGGGAAAAAAUUGGACAUACAACUAUUCAUUUAUGACAAUUUGAUAAUUCCUUUAGGUAAAAAUUAUGAAUACUCUCUACACAUGGAACUAAUUGGAGAUCUUUGAUCAAAUUUAGAUUUAUGAGGAAUGGAAAGGUUCUUGAUUUUUGUCUAGUUCAAUUUAAUUCAGUUUUGUGUGUGAUGGUGUGUAUGUGUGUGGGGUGUGCUAAAAAGCAUUGUGUUAAUUUCAAAGGGCUGUGGUAACAAAGUACCAAAGAUUGGGUAGCUGAACAAAAAUCUAUCUUCUUUUUUUUCUGGAGUCUUGAAGUCUGAGAUAUAGGUGUUGUCAGGGUUGAUAUCAAGUGAGGAAGAAUCUAUUCUAUUUCUUUCCUCUAGUUUUUUGUGGUUUGCUGACAGUCUUUGGUGUUCUUCGGCUUGUAGAUAUCCACCUCUUCUUCCCAUUGCGUUUCCCUGGGUAUAUGUCUCUGUUUCCAAAUUUCCCUUUUGUGUAAGAACA
rnacentral:lncRNA from 12 species